AGAGUUUGAUCCUGGCUCAGGACGAACGCUGGCGGCAUGCCUAACACAUGCAAGUCGAACGAGAAAGUUCCUUCGGGAGCGACUAAAGUGGCGCACGGGUGAGUAACGCGUAGACAAUCUGCCCUUCAGUCUGGGACAACUUUUCGAAAGGAGAGCUAAUACCGGAUAACAAUAUUUAACCUAAGUUAAGUAUUUGAAAGCUUUAUGUGCUGAAGGAGGGGUCUGCGUCCCAUUAGCUAGUUGGUAAGGUAAAGGCUUACCAAGGCAACGAUGGGUAGCGGGUUUGAGAGGACGAUCCGCCACACUGGAACUGAGACACGGUCCAGACUCCUACGGGAGGCAGCAGUGGGGAAUAUUGCACAAUGGAGGAAACUCUGAUGCAGCAAUGUCGCGUGAGUGAAGAAGGCCCUUGGGUCGUAAAGCUCUUUUAUGGGGGAAGAUGAUGACGGUACCCCAAGAAUAAGCACCGGCUAACUAUGUGCCAGCAGCCGCGGUAAUACAUAGGGUGCGAGCGUUGUUCGGAAUUACUGGGCGUAAAGGGCGCGCAGGCGGAAUAGUAAGUCGGAGGUGAAAGCCCGGGGCUCAACCCCGGAGGGUCUUUCGAAACUACUAAUCUAGAGAGGGUCAGGGGCCGGCAGAAUUCCUGGUGUAGAGGUGAAAUUCGUAGAUAUCAGGAGGAAUACCGGUGGCGAAGGCGGCCGGCUGGGGCCACUCUGACGCUGAGGCGCGAAAGCGUGGGAGCAAACAGGAUUAGAUACCCUGGUAGUCCACGCCGUAAACGAUGAGCACUGGACGUCCGGAGGGUUCGACCCUUCUGGGUGUCUCAGCUAACGCAUUAAGUGCUCCGCCUGGGGAGUACGGUCGCAAGACUAAAACUCAAAGGAAUUGACGGGGGCCCGCACAAGCGGUGGAACAUGUGGUUUAAUUCGAUGCAACGCGAAGAACCUUACCUGGUCUUGACAUCCUCGGACCGCUUCAGAGAUGAAGUUUCCUCUUCGGAGGCCGAGUGACAGGUGCUGCAUGGCUGUCGUCAGCUCGUGUCGUGAGAUGUUGGGUUAAGUCCCGCAACGAGCGCAACCCCUACCCUUAAUUGCCAUCGGGUUAUGCCGGGCACUUUAGGGGGACUGCCGGUGACAAGCCGGAGGAGGGUGGGGAUGACGUCAAGUCCUCAUGGCCUUUAUGACCAGGGCUACACACGUGUUACAAUGGGAGUUACAGAGGGAAGCUAAGCCGCGAGGCCAUGCCAAUCCCAGAAAAACUUUCUCAGUUCGGAUCGCAGUCUGCAACUCGACUGCGUGAAGCUGGAAUCGCUAGUAAUCGCGGAUCAGCACGCCGCGGUGAAUACGUUCCCGGGCCUUGUACACACCGCCCGUCACACCAUGGGAGCCGACAAGGGCAGAAGUCGCCGAGCUAACCUUCGGGAAGCAGGCGCCCAAGCUGUUGUUGACGACUGGGGUGAAGUCGUAACAAGGUAACC
rnacentral:rRNA from 1 species